CCCUUUGAUACUCUGGGCGGCACGCGCGCUACACUGGUUUAUAUAACGUGUAAUUUGGACGAUAGUCUGUAUAAAUCACUAAUAUAAAACCGUGAAUGGGAUAGUUUAUUGCAACUUACAAACUUUAACUAGGAAUCCCUUGUAGAAGUAGUGAAUUAUACUGCUUCGAAUACGUCCCUGCCGAUUGUACACACCGCCCGUCGUUUCUUCCGACUGGUACUCAUUGUGAAUUGCGAGGAGAUUCUGUCAAAUCGUUGUAAAUGCUGGGUAUUGGAGGUAGAAAAAGUCGUAACA
rnacentral:rRNA from 1 species